AAUGCCCCUUGAGGCGUUGCAGCCCAACGGUCAGUGUUGCAGCUGUGUCAUAAGGAGGCAGAGAGAGACUGGUGGUAGUCUGCACCGAGACUCUAUGACACACGAGGCCUCGGAGUGAUUCUCGCCACCAACAGU
rnacentral:snoRNA from 1 species